rnacentral:lncRNA from 1 species
UAGUUUUGUUGAAGUUUAUUGCACCUUCCAGUAAGCGCACUUGGUCUCACGCGCCAGGUGACCUCUGCUGUUUCCUGUGAGGCCAUCUUCGCCUCUGUCUUCCUGGGAAGCAAACUGCACUGUCCUUACACAGAUGCUGGCUCGUCCAGGGUGCAGGGCCCUACUGCCCCAGCCAGGCCGACACCGUGGGCCUCCAGGCUGUUCCGUGGGUCUGGGGCAGGUCGCAAGACAGAAGGGAAAAGCUGCAGCUGGCCUUAAGACAGGAAGUCUAUGGGGACAGAGGGGAUGGGGGUCUUGAGGAUGACUCGGGCUCCUGAAGGCAGGGGAGGGAGGCAGGAGAGUGUCAGAGAGGCAGUGUUGUGAGGACCUCCAUGCCUGCUCUGAGCUGGGGGCCACACAGCCCUGCCUGCCCAUCCAGCUUUAACCCUGUGGACUGGCAACCCCCGACCCACAGAACAAGAGGGCGUGACUUCAGGCGACUCGAGCCACUGCAUGUGUGAUAACAACUAGAGCUGAAGGCCAGGGUCCCAUCCCUGCUCCAUCAUGACGGGCAGCACUAGGGCACCCUGCCGGCUUCCCUCCCGCAGGCCCUGGCCUCUCAGGCCCUCUCCACCGCCAGCAUCAUGGGGGCACACGCGCACCCAGGACUUGGACUGCCCUGAAUUCACGCAUCACAUCGAGAGGUGACAACUCCAUGACAAUAAGCCUGCUUUUGUGCUCGUAAAAAUCAAGUCCCCCAGGCCCGUGAGAGUCCUGGUUCUGUGGCAGUUUAUAAAAAGCAGGGCUUCAAGUGGACUUGCUCCCAGCCCAAGAAGAGCCCUGUCCGGCAGUCGAGGGUUGCUGAGAGCACGGGGGACUUUCAGAGGCUGCAGGUGGAGGAGGGUUGAGGUCUGAGGGCCUGGAACAGAGCUGGAACCAGCAGGUGGAGGUGCUCCUGAAAGGGAGGCCUUGCUGGCCACGGCCAGGUCUUGCCGGUGCUCCUGGGUCCCAUGCACCGGAAUGGGAAGGCAGGCGGUCUAGGCGUGUCCACCCCUGGGACCAAGGAGGCCCAGACAGGCUGAGACUGGAGCUGGAGCCCCAGGUGUGUGCUGUCACUCAGGCACAUGCCCCAGUGAGAGCAUGUUCUGGCAGGGGGAAUGGACGUGGCCUCGGGGCAGGGCCGGCAGGAGCCUGGAGGUGGCCCCACAAGCCCCAUCGUCUGCCCACCUCAGGUCAGAGUCCGACAGCCCCAGAAGAGAGGGGAGCCCGGCAAGGCAGGCAGGGCUGGAGGCCUCAGGGCCACCUGUGUCUGCUGGUGGGGGGCGGGGGGGGUGCCAUGAGGCCGACCCUCCUUCCGCCAGGCUGAGGCACGUCCCCCGGACACAGAUGGCUCUUUGUCAGGGAUGAGCUGAGCUUGCUGAGCAGCCUCUGGAACAAAGCCCCUCUGUCCAUGCUGUGCCUCCCCACCCGGAGCACCACCUCCCGGGAAGGAGCAGAGCCCCGGGCUCCCAUCCGGCGCACCCACCAGGCACAGCCUUGGCCGGAGG